AAAAUACUGAAGAGUGAAGAAACAUUUGAAACUACUGCACAAUAACGUAUAAACUCGUGUAUACUGAGCAUCAACAACAAUGAAAUUUGCUUUUGAAGUUCUGCUGUUGCUGAUUGUUUGUACAACAUUGUUAUCAGCAAAACCUCACUAUGAAAUUGAGGAAGGACGCGGUGAGAGUGAAAAGGACCAGAGAAGUGUUCAGAAUUGUUCUGGUGGGUGUCCAUCAGGACAAGAAUGUAUUCCAUGCUGGGGAUCUGAGCCUAGUUGCCUACCAAUGGGCGUGAUAUGUUAAAUAAAUUUAUCAUGCAAAAU